rnacentral:rRNA from 1 species
GCGACCCCAGGAUGGGCGGGGC